rnacentral:rRNA from 1 species
UACGUAGGGUCCAAGCGUUGUCCGGAAUUAUUGGGCGUAAAGAGCUCGUAGGUGGUGUGUCGCGUCGGAUGUGAAAUCCCGGAGCUUAACUCCGGGUCUGCAUUCGGUACGGGCAUGGCUGGAGUUCGGUAGGGGAGACUGGAAUUCCCAGUGUAGAGGUGAAAUUCGUAGAUAUUGGGAGGAACACCGGGUGGCGAAGGCGACCACCUGGACGGUAACUGACGCUGAGGCGCGGAGAGCGUG